rnacentral:rRNA from 1 species
AUGCAGAGCUGCGUAGCACGGAAGGAGCCAUUGUGCUGCUCUUUGCAACACCUCCGGACCAGUCUUCAGUUUUCCUAUCACUACACUAGGCAGUGGAUUAAUGGAGAACAGAUACAGCUUAGCCAUGACUCUGCGGCAAUAUAUUUAUACAACCUAAGUUUCUUCUGCUCUAGUCCUUCGAAUUGGAUACAGUUGUCAGCAGUUCUACUUCCAAGCCAACUAGCAUUUAAUAUUAUUGUCCAUUCAGCAAGCAAUAUUAAACAUGUGUCAAUUCGUACAACAUGCUCUGCAUUCCUAGAUUCAGUUAGGCGAGCUGUCAAGCUCCCCAACGCUUCACUCACCAUCAAAUAUAGCAAGUCGUAUGUAUUUAAAUUUUGGUUCUUGUGUUAUUAA